rnacentral:rRNA from 1 species
CACGUAGGGCGCAAGCGUUGUCCGGAAUUAUUGGGCGUAAAGAGCUCGUAGGCGGUCUGUUGCGUCCGCUGUGAAAACCCGGGGCUUAACCCUGGGCUGGCAGUGGAUACGGACAGACUAGAGGUAGGUAGGGGAGAGUGGAAUUCCCGGUGUAGCGGUGAAAUGCGCAGAUAUCGGGAGGAACACCGGUGGCGAAGGCGGUUCUCUGGGCCUUACCUGACGCUGAGGAGCGAAAGCGUGGGGAGCGAACAGG